rnacentral:rRNA from 1 species
UUUUAUGGAGAGUUUGAUCCUGGCUCAGGAUGAACGCUGGCGGCGUGCCUAAUACAUGCAAGUCGAGCGAACGGACGAGAAGCUUGCUUCUCUGAUGUUAGCGGCGGACGGGUGAGUAACACGUGGAUAACCUACCUAUAAGACUGGGAUAACUUCGGGAAACCGGAGCUAAUACCGGAUAAUAUUUUGAACCGCAUGGUUCAAAAGUGAAAGACGGUCUUGCUGUCACUUAUAGAUGGAUCCGCGCUGCAUUAGCUAGUUGGUAAGGUAACGGCUUACCAAGGCAACGAUGCAUAGCCGACCUGAGAGGGUGAUCGGCCACACUGGAACUGAGACACGGUCCAGACUCCUACGGGAGGCAGCAGUAGGGAAUCUUCCGCAAUGGGCGAAAGCCUGACGGAGCAACGCCGCGUGGGUGAUGAAGGUCUUCGGAUCGUAAAACUCUGUUAUUAGGGAAGAACAUAUGUGUAAGUAACUGUGCACAUCUUGACGGUACCUAAUCAGAAAGCCACGGCUAACUACGUGCCAGCAGCCGCGGUAAUACGUAGGUGGCAAGCGUUAUCCGGAAUUAUUGGGCGUAAAGCGCGCGUAGGCGGUUUUUUAAGUCUGAUGUGAAAGCCCACGGCUCAACCGUGGAGGGUCAUUGGAAACUGGAAAACUUGAGUGCAGAAGAGGAAAGUGGAAUUCCAUGUGUAGCGGUGAAAUGCGCAGAGAUAUGGAGGAACACCAGUGGCGAAGGCGACUUUCUGGUCUGUAACUGACGCUGAUGUGCGAAAGCGUGGGGAUCAAACAGGAUUAGAUACCCUGGUAGUCCACGCCGUAAACGAUGAGUGCUAAGUGUUAGGGGGUUUCCGCCCCUUAGUGCUGCAGCUAACGCAUUAAGCACUCCGCCUGGGGAGUACGACCGCAAGGUUGAAACUCAAAGGAAUUGACGGGGACCCGCACAAGCGGUGGAGCAUGUGGUUUAAUUCGAAGCAACGCGAAGAACCUUACCAAAUCUUGACAUCCUUUGACAACUCUAGAGAUAGAGCCUUCCCCUUCGGGGGACAAAGUGACAGGUGGUGCAUGGUUGUCGUCAGCUCGUGUCGUGAGAUGUUGGGUUAAGUCCCGCAACGAGCGCAACCCUUAAGCUUAGUUGCCAUCAUUAAGUUGGGCACUCUAAGUUGACUGCCGGUGACAAACCGGAGGAAGGUGGGGAUGACGUCAAAUCAUCAUGCCCCUUAUGAUUUGGGCUACACACGUGCUACAAUGGACAAUACAAAGGGCAGCGAAACCGCGAGGUCAAGCAAAUCCCAUAAAGUUGUUCUCAGUUCGGAUUGUAGUCUGCAACUCGACUACAUGAAGCUGGAAUCGCUAGUAAUCGUAGAUCAGCAUGCUACGGUGAAUACGUUCCCGGGUCUUGUACACACCGCCCGUCACACCACGAGAGUUUGUAACACCCGAAGCCGGUGGAGUAACCUUUUAGGAGCUAGCCGUCGAAGGUGGGACAAAUGAUUGGGGUGAAGUCGUAACAAGGUAGCCGUAUCGGAAGGUGCGGCUGGAUCACCUCCUUUCUAA